rnacentral:lncRNA from 1 species
UGCGUUUGUUUUCUUUUGCGAUGAUCAUCCACUUGGGUGAGAGCAGAUGACGAGGAGGUUACUUUGGAGACAACUUUGGAUGGGGAUGGCAGUGUUGCAGUCCAGUCCACUAUGCUUCACUUGAUUAGCCUUUUAUUUUGAAGAACUUUGUCAUGUUCUAAGUUUUCAAUUCCUUGUAUUUUUCAGGAAAAAACUUUAGUACUUCAUUUUCAAAUUCUAAAUACUGUUUAAGGAUGACUGUAAUCCUAAUUACUUCUCUAGCUGCUUUGAUGACG